AGAGUUUGAUCCUGGCUCAGGAUGAACGCUGGCGGUCUGCUUAACACAUGCAAGUCGAACGGACUCUUCGGAGUUAGUGGCGGACGGGUGAGUAACGCGUGAGAAUCUACCUUCAGGACGGAGACAACAGUUGGAAACGACUGCUAACCCCCGAUGAACCGAAAGGGCAAAUAUUUAUAGCCUGAAGAAGAGCUCGCGUCCGAUUAGCUAGUUGGAGAGGUAAAAGCUCACCAAGGCGACGAUCGGUAGCUGGUCUGAGAGGACGAUCAGCCACACUGGGACUGAGACACGGCCCAGACUCCUACGGGAGGCAGCAGUGGGGAAUUUUCCGCAAUGGGCGAAGGCCUGACGGAGCAAUACCGCGUGAGGGAGGAAGGCUCUUGGGUCGUAAACCUCUUUUAUUAGGGAAGAAGAUCUGACGGUACCUAAUGAAAUCAGCAUCGAUUCCCCC
rnacentral:rRNA from 1 species